rnacentral:rRNA from 1 species
AUUGAACGCUGGCGGCGUGCCUAACACAUGCAAGUCGAGCGGCAGCGCGGGAGCAAUCCUGGCGGCGAGCGGCGGACGGGUGAGUAACGCUUGGGAAUCUGCCUGUUAGUGGGGGACAACCCGGGGAAACUCGGGCUAAUACCGCAUACGCACUACGGUGGAAAGCCGGGGACCGCAAGGCCUGGCGCUAACAGAUGAGCCCAAGUCGGAUUAGCUAGUUGGUAGGGUAACGGCCUACCAAGGCGACGAUCCGUAACUGGUCUGAGAGGACGACCAGUCACACCGGAACUGAGACACGGUCCGGACUCCUACGGGAGGCAGCAGUGGGGAAUAUUGGACAAUGGGGCGCAAGCCUGAUCCAGCCAUGCCGCGUGAGUGAUGAAGGCCUCGGUGUAAG